rnacentral:rRNA from 1 species
UCAAGGGCUCAAAAUAUCCUAAAGAUACCAGAUCUUAUCUGAUCUUGGAAGCUAAACAAGGUCAGCUGUGGUUUGUACUUGGGUGGGAGAUCACCAAUGAAUACCAGAUGCCCUAGUU